GCCUGUAUGGCUCAGUGGUUGAGCACUGACUUAUGAACCAGGAGGUCAAGGUUCGAUUCCUGGUCAGGGCA
rfam:Myotis davidii contig113380, whole genome shotgun sequence.